UCUCACUUGAAGCAAUGUGUGGCGCUCUAUGGCCUACCCUGUGGUCACUCAAGAAGGUAGACAGAGAGGAAGAGAGAAGCGUAAUCGUAAUCGUGUGAACUCGGAGGCAGUCGAAUCUGUGGCUAGCUUCCUAACAGACGACUCCAGAGAUGACGCCAGUGUCCAGGGUGGAAGUUCCUUGCAGCAACUGACUGGACGGUCAGUUUGCCACGGAGCGCUCUGUCACUACGCAAACCUGCUGCGCCCCAUCUCCAAUGCUGUUCUGUGGAGGAGCGGAGCAGGAAGAGAGUGGAAGGAAAGCAGCUUCCAGGAGUUUAUUGAACAGGCUUCAGAACAAAGAAUACCAAGGUGAAUAGAGACAAAGGAACUACAGAGAUGUGGAUAACAACAUGUACUGCUCAUGCAGAGAACCUGAACUCCGUUCCCAGCACCCACGUCCCUCACGACCACCUCCACCUCCAUCUUCAAAGUCUCUGUAGAUACCCGUACUCAUGUGCACGUACACAGAUGGUCAAGAAUGAGCAUCUCGAUAAUUACCAAAAUUUCGUGCCUGACUGAUGAGUUUUUCAAGUGCUGUGCUGUGAUUUCCUUCACCUUGAACCAUGCCCGUGACAGAAGCUGCUCAGAUGUUUGUAAGUUGCGGGAAGUUCAUGGGGUUGUGAGUCUCGUCAGGCCCUUCCCAUGGCUGUCUGAGCAGUGAGCGACUGCAGGGCUGUGAUGAACAAGAAGCCAGCACCACUGAGGCAAAGACCUUUGUUUUAUUGGGACUAUGGACGGUGGUUAUCUAGAGCUGAGAAAUUAGCAGUGAUUAAGAGACCAGCAUCACUGAGGUAAAAUCUUCUGAGAAGUCUUUCCUCAAGGUCAGCACACAGAAGUUGUGGCCCGGAGUAAGCCAAGUUUGUAGUUUGUUCUUGCAGCUGACCUUGGUAAUGUGUAAGAGUUUGGAAGGUGUUCUGAAGGAAUGAAGGGUGAGAGGCCAGGAGAGUCCACUGAAGAAGGUGUAGUUUCAGUUGAAGUAGAAGCGUCAGGGCUGAAGGAGUCAUGGAAGAAACCUGAGGCCUGGAACCAUGAGGCAGUGUCAGAGUGCCGGAAGAGACUCCAGGAAGCCACUAGUGAAGGUGCAGCCCAAUUGCCAUAGAAACCCUAGCAGUUUGGAGAACCCAACAAUAGAUCGUGAGUUGUGUGAAAAUAGAGAAAGUGAGGUAAGUCCAAGCAUGCACACAUCCAUUCUCUCUCUGCUUGGUGGAUAUGACUAGCUGCUCCAAGUUCCCUCUGCCAUGAUUCUCCCACAGCGAUGGACUAUAUAACCUGUCAGCUAAAAUAAACCUUCCCUCUCU